rnacentral:rRNA from 1 species
UAACUGAAGAGUUUGAUCAUGGCUCAGAUUGAACGCUGGCGGCAGGCUUAACACAUGCAAGUCGAGCGGGGGAAGGUAGCUUGCUACUGGACCUAGCGGCGGACGGGUGAGUAAUGCUUAGGAAUCUGCCUAUUAGUGGGGGACAACAUCUCGAAAGGGAUGCUAAUACCGCAUACGUCCUACGGGAGAAAGCAGGGGAUCUUCGGACCUUGCGCUAAUAGAUGAGCCUAAGUCG